CCGACGUGGACAUCCUGUGAGGUUGCUCUCGCAUGGCUCUGUCCUUGUGGCGUAUGGGAGCGUAGCACUUCGGUGCUGUGACGUACAGUCCCGUUCCACGGCAUCGUAGAGCAAGCUUUGUCCCCCCGGCCCCUCGGGCUGGUGAGGAUGGCGUUCUGUAUAUUCCUACAUCUUCCCAGAGCUCCUUGGGCCAUGACUGGGGGGCUAAACCAUGCAUUGCACAAAC
ensembl:snoRNA SNORA73 Small nucleolar RNA SNORA73 family